UUGUCCUACGGGGGGCAGCAGUGGGGAAUAUUGCACAAUGGGCGAAAGCCUGACGCAGCAACGCCGCGUGAAGGAAGACGGUUUUCGGAUUGUAAACUUCUGUUCUUAGUGAAGAAUAAUGACGGUAACUAAGGAGCAAGCCACGGCUAACUACGUGCCAGCAGCCGCGGUAAUACGUAGGGGGCAAGCGUUGUCCGGAAUUACUGGGUGUAAAGGGAGCGUAGGCGGGAAGCCAAGUCAGCUGUGAAAACUAGGGGGUUAACCUGGAGACUGCUGUUGAAACUGGCUUUCUUGAG
rnacentral:rRNA from 1 species